GGGGGUGAAUGGUCUCGACGUUGGAUGUUGAGGUGAGAGAAGCGAGCCGUGGUCUCAGGAACCACGUUAAAGAGCCUGAAACAAAAAUAAACGCCGAGCCUAAGCUCAGCCUCGCUGCCUAGAGCAGCGACGUUCAUCCGGUCUCAGUCCUGCGGAUCGGAAUAUGGACGUCAUCAAGUAGGACUUACCUUGUAACUGCGCUUUACCGGAUUCAAGGGACACCUCAGUAAAGAUAGGGAGUGAGAUAGUUGCCAAUCGGCUCUCACUCUCAACAACGCUCGGUUGGCUGCGCUCGGAGAAUGCUUACCAAGGUACCGGCGGACGCGGGUUCGAUUCCCGCCACCUCCAC
rnacentral:tmRNA from 1 species